rnacentral:rRNA from 1 species
GGUAAACGGCGGCCGUAACUAUAACGGUCCUAAGGUAGCGAAAUUCCUUGUCGGGUAAGUUCCGACCUGCACGAAUGGCGUAACGACUUCCCCGCUGUCUCCAACAUCGACUCAGCGAAAUUGAAUUGCCUGUCAAGAUGCAGGCUUCCCGCGGUUAGACGGAAAGACCCCGUGCACCUUUACUACAGCUUCGCACUGGCAUCAGGAUUGUGAUGUGCAGGAUAGGUGGUAGGCUUUGAAGCAGGGACGCUAGUCCUUGUGGAGCCAUCCUUGAGAUACCACCCUUCGCCUGCUUGAUGUCUAACCGCGGUCCGUUAUCCGGAUCCGGGACCCUGCGUG